rnacentral:pre_miRNA from 1 species
AAAAAAAAGAUUUGGAUGGAGUUGGAAUGUUUGCCUACGUUUGCCGCUAGGGGCGCUGUUCUAACUGCAUACAAAUAUGCGUUA